CAAAGGUACAGAAUGGUGGCGGUGGUGUACUGCCGUCCAAUCUGCAGCAACUGCGUGAUGCCAUCGCGUCAGCAUGAACCAACCUCCCUGUGGAAUGUUUCCAACUUGUAAAAUAUAUGCCCCAAAGAAGUCAGGCUGUUCUGGAGGCAAAGGGGGUCCCGAUACAGUACUAGAUGGGUGUACCUAAUUAACUGGCCGAUCUAUUAGCGCAAUCACAGUCCUCACAGCUGCAGUCGUCUGACCCUGCACCUGCUACACCGGCCACGACAGAUGAUACAGAUCUGCCACCCCCAGCAGUUCAGCUGCAGUCACAGUAGUCCUCUGCUGUGGUAUUUCAUUUACCGGCUGCACCAGUUCUUACUACACUGGCUGCGAAGGGAGAAACUUUUGAGGAUUCCCAGAUGGAUACAGAUCUGCCAUGCACUCCACCACUGCCCCUGAUAGCCUCUCCCAGAAGUGCAUACACCGGGUCUAUCACUAUUGACAAAGCAGAGAUAGGUGGCUGACAAGGAAAAAUAAAACAACAUCCCACACACACACACACAUUAUCCCCAAUGUAAAUACAUUGUAAUUACUUCAUUAUUUUAUUUUAGGAUUGGAGAUAUCUACACCUACAUAUUCAUUAUCAAUAACUACAUAAUUACUCUAAGAAUCUUUCCAAUCAGUGUGAUUGAUAAUAUUGUAAGAGUAUUGCUUAAUUUGUAGUUUGAGAAAACUCAGUGUGCUUUUUUGAGUUGAAAAACAUUCUUCUCACACACACACACACACACACACACACACACACACACACACACACACACACACACACACACACACACACACACACACACACACACACACACACAACCUUAAUAAUGUAAAUACAUUAUUUAAUGUAGGCUCCAUUAAUUUUUUAUUUUAUUUUUUAUUUUUUAUAAUUAAUUUGUUUAAAAAAAAAAUGUUUUUAGAGGGUGGAUCAGCUUAAUAUUGCGGAAAGAAUGUUGCUUCCAAUGUAAUUGUCUGCAUCAUUUCCAAUCCCCCAUAUUUUUGGGGUAAAUAUAUAUAUCCAUACACCAAUGCAUAUAUAUACACAUAUAUACAUACACAUACCAAUAUAGACAAACAUACUUUUUAAAAGAAUAUACCUUUAUUAUUAUUCCCCGCAAACCCUUCCGCCGAUCCCCCAAUUGGAGUAAACUAAUAAAAACUUCUGCUUCUACCUUCAAUCCAUACAUCUUAUACACACUCUACAGACACAGUCUACUUCACAAUAGUUCUCUCUUGUUUGUUCUUAGUCCUUCCUCUAUUUCUGAUGUCCAUCCAGUUUGAUGAUUUCUAUUUGUAACUAUGCUAUUUCACAAAAGUUCCGAACCUAUAUACAUUUUACAGAUCCCGUAUAUUUUACAUUGUUUAUCUUGUUAUUAGUCCCACCCUUCUGCUCUAUUCAACCCCUCGCAUCUAUCUCUCAACAUCAUCCAUUUCGGAUUUCUACUUGCCAUUUAUUUUUCAACUGUGCUGUGAUGCUUCAUAAAAGAGUUGAACCUUCCUAUUCUCAUAGCUUCUACAGAUUGUAAAUUAAAAAUAAACAUUUUUGCUAAAAUAAUUAUUAUAUUAUUGAUUGAUUGACUAUGGCUUUUCAAAUCACCCAGUAUUACUAUCUGUAGUAGUGUUAGUUCUAGGCAAAUGUUGCAAUUCUUCAACCAUUCCUGGACCUGUGACCAAAAAUGAGCUACAUAUGGACAAUACCAAAAUAAAUGAUCUAAUGACUCUGCCUCCUCACAGCAGAAUCUGCAGAGCUAGGAAGAUUGUAUCCCCCAUAUAUAUAACAUUCUAUUAGUUGCAAGAAUUUUGUAUAGUAAUUAUAUUGAAAAAUUUGAAGUUUUGAAUCCGGCGUUGUUUUGCGUAUCAAUUGAUAAACCAUGUGCCAUGGAAUGGGUACAUCGAAAAUCUCUUCCCAACUAUUUUGCAAUUUAUAUGGCACAGCUGUCAGUUUUUUGGUCCUUAAAUUAAAUUGGUAUAUGUUUUUAUUUGUCACACUUUUCUUUAACCAUUUAUGUUCUUUAAUACAGGGCCUACAUACAAGUUCCUUGGCUCCAUUUAUUUGAGGAUUGUGUGUAAUAAAGUAAAUUCACAGUUAAAGCAUCAGUUUGUUUUAUUAGAUAUUUGAAUGACAAAAAGGAAGUCGGCAGACCUGCAACCCUUUGGGAGUGUGUGCAGGUUUUGUCAUCUGGAGCUGAAACGGGGCCCCAACAGCCCUCACAUAUGUACAGCGUUCCCAGGAGUGGCAAAUAUGUUUAUUGUCCUGCAAAAGUAUUUUUAUUGUACCGAGGGCAUUUCCUGGCUACCCAUCCACAUUGUUCAGGUCAAACUGAUGUUUGUUCUCCACAGUGAAUGUAUGUAGCGACAAAAAUCAGGGUGAUUCAUCAGGCAACCAAGGCCAAGGAAUUGCAAGAGAGAUGACCUGGAGGAAGUUCCAGACGUCAGCUUUUUAUGUAGCAGAAAAGCACAGAUGGGUGGCUAACAAGAACAAAUAAAACAUAGUCUGUAAAUACAUUAUAAUUACUCAUUCAUUUUAUGCAUGCUCCAAUUUAUUUUAGGAUUGGAGAUAUUUA
ensembl:lncRNA